rnacentral:rRNA from 3 species
CCUACGGGAGGCAGCAGUAGGGAAUCUUCCGCAAUGGACGAAAGUCUGACGGAGCAACGCCGCGUGAACGAAGAAGGCCUUCGGGUCGUAAAGUUCUGUUGUUAGGGAAGAACAAGUACCAGAGUAACUGCUGGUACCUUGACGGUACCUAACCAGAAAGCCACGGCUAACUACGUGCCAGCAGCCGCGGUAAU